AUGACGAAGAACAAGCAACUUCACUUUCAUAUACUACCAAGGCAUCCGAGGCAAUGGCUGAUCCAAGGCAAUGGCUACUCUAAGUUGGUGAAGGCAUCCCAACUGGAAUCAAAGAAAACAGAAUCAGCACUACCAAGUCUUGCGCCUGUGCCAAAACCAAAGAAGACAAAGACAACUAAACAUAAGAAACCAGGAAUAUUUCAAACACCGCUCCAAAAGGGGCCAAAGGACGGAUUAGAAGAUACCAUAAAGUGUGGCAUGGAAGUUAGUUUGACGUCGCCAAACAGUGCAAGUGUGGUGGCAAUGGGAACAAUUCAGAAAACUGAUAGAAAAGCUAAAGCUACUGAUGGCCAACCACUAGCUGAUUGUGUUGAAGUUCUUGUCAACGUCGUGCUCAAAGAAACAACUGAGCUGCCUCGUGCACAAGGGAAAAUAAACAAGAUAGGAAAUGCCCAAGCUAGGUGUAUUCCAUGGCCACGCAAAAAUAUUACGCAAACAGACCGUACUACCGUGCUGCACUCUAAGGUUUCUAGUGUUUGGAGUCAGAUGUCUUUCAACAAUAGCGAGAAUGUGGAUCCCAACGAAACAACUACUGGAACUCAGGUGACCAACCAUCAGACUGGUUGCAGUACUUCAGAAGGUGCAGUGAGGAAUACACUAAAGAGAAAGAAAGUUUCUGAGACAACAAGAAUGAAAAAAGGUACUCAAGCAAUCUCUACUACAACCGGAAACAACAUACUUAGGAAUUCAGGCAGGGAAACAUGA
rnacentral:rRNA from 1 species